ensembl:lncRNA
AGGAACCAGUUCAACAUCACAUCUGGCAAUAACGGGCCAAGACGAACCCUCCGCUGCAUUGGCUAUGUAGCAGGGCAAAUGUCUACUGGGGACCCGGGGCGAUGCUCCCCCCCCCCCCGUCUGGGCUCAUCUGCUCACCUUUCUACAAUCAGACCUCUAACCUCAAACACUUCAAUACCACGGCUUUCUCACGACUCGUCUCCAGGUGUUUGGUCCGCUCAAAGGAUCCCUGAGGCAGACCGGCACUGACCCCCCCUGCAGGAGGGCGGUAGACGUGCAGAGUGCAGAACUCCAUCCCGCGCUACAGAUGUGUCAAACAAGGACUGCAUGGGAAGACAUCAGAAACAUUUCACGAGCAUAUGGUAAUAAUAGACUACAUACUUAUAAAAAAUACUCAAUCUCAUGAAAAUGACUUAAACUAAUGUAUUAUUCAUUCUAUUGUAGACAAGACGCUCUUACAUUAGCAGAAGCAGUCGCUGUAUUUCCAAAAUUCACAAAAGCUCCUGUGAAAUGUGCCCACGUAUGCAGACAAGAACACACAGCAGAGGCGUCCUUGUAAUAAUAGUAUGGCUCAUUAACUUUAAUGCUGUUGGAAUAGUUUGAAAAUGCGACUGUUAUGUAAGAAUGGUGCAUAGGAGACACCCUCCACUGCACCUCAAGUGAGCUGUAACUAAAACCCGGAAGAUUACUGGCAUGUGCGUGUGCAGUAAGACAACAAAUGGAGGAAACAUGUUCCAGAUGUACACGCAACAUGGCGUGUUUAGAGUAAUGUCAAUUGUAGUGGAAUACAAAUGAUCACCAAUGGUUGAAUGAAGUAUGCUUUAAGCUAAAGGGGUUAAAAAAUGUCCAUUUCAAACAGGCCAACACACAGGGCAGAACUAACAGUGACUGAGCCAUUAUCUACUGGGGAUGAAUCAAAUCCACAAGGCUGCAGCCACAUUCAAAGUGUUCCACUAGAAUCCAAUUAUUUUGGAAAGCCAUACCUCUGUGUUUCCUUUGAUCGGGCUGCCAGCUGAGGCAACUUGCUCACUGAACCUAAAUUAUACACCAGAAAAAUCUCAGACGUGAUCGGGACACGAAUGUUAUUCCAAAGUCGUGGGAAACAUCGGUGAAUACAACAAACUCAAAUUGCUUUGGUAAAAUACCCUGCGGGGCUCCAGCAGGGGAAGAAGUCCUAAUUAGUCGUUAUACAGAUAAAAGAAUCGUGUGAUGUCAUUUCUGCAUUUUCAUUCUGCUCUUUUACAAAGAGGACUUCCAGUGAAGGGAACAUGGAUCCAUUGUUCACUGACAUGGCUGCUGUCCUGUUGUUUUCCUCACUACUGUCCCUGGAUCUGUCUCACCCGCGCACGUGAGGAUAAACAACCAACCUCCCCCCCCGUUCCCAUUCAGGAGGUAGACCAAAUAGCUCUCUUACCACUUACCACAACAGCUGAGUCCAUCGUCCACCUGGGAGCUCAGCCGGACCGCCUCGGAGCCCGAGCAGCGACUGGAGACGUUCAUUUGGAACCAGCUCAUUGAUGUUAAUUCAUGUGUUGCCAAAAGAGUCAUGUGUGUGUAUAUAUAUAUAUUAAAAACACGUUUGUAUGCAAGUACAGUAUUUAAUUGAAUGGGGAACUGGUUAUUUUCACAUUCAACUCGCAGUGACGUUCCACGGAACACGUUGCACAGAGAAGACGUUACAGCAGAGAGCAAACGAUUACACGUCACAACUAAUUCAAAGAACUAGGAAUUGAGUUUUGCCCUAAUAACAUAUAUGUGCUUUUUUCAACCCUAAUCUGGGUUGAAAGAAAGCCAAUAAAUACAUAAAUAUAUAAAUAGAUCAGUGCAUAAAAAUUGGGGAAGAUAUGAAAACUAGAAUACUACUUUGAGCAGGGACAAUGUGGACACAGAGCAGGAUUCCUUACUUGGCAGCAGCAUCUGGCUUAUUAGCGUAUAACCUGAAUAAAGAAGCAGGAACCGGAGCCUGGAGAGCGAUGAAGCAGAGAACACAACACAUGAACAGCCAUCACUCGUCGCUCCGUCCUGUUUAAGGCAGCGAAGCCCCCCGGCAGGGCGGGGGGUGCAGGUGUUUGGUCUUGGCUCUCUUUGAGAGUCCGACCCGGAUGGGCCGGUUGCAUGUUCGCAGAGGCUCCAGCCGCCUCG